UUUUGGACAAUGGGGGCAACCCUGAUCCAGCCAUGCCGCGUGAGUGAAGAAGGCCUUCGGGUUGUAAAGCUCUUUCAGACGGAAAGAAACGGUCACGGCCAAUACCCGUGACUAAUGACGGUACCGUCAGAAGAAGCACCGGCUAACUACGUGCCAGCAGCCGCGGUAAUACGUAGGGUGCGAGCGUUAAUCGGAAUUACUGGGCGUAAAGCGUGCGCAGGCGGUUUCGUAAGACAGAUGUGAAAUCCCCGGGCUUAACCUGGGAACUGCAUUUGUGACUGCGAGACUAGAGUGUAGCAGAGGGGGGUAGAAUUCCACGUGUAGCAGUGAAAUGCGUAGAGAUGUGGAGGAAUACCGAUGGCGAAGGCAGCCCCCUGGGCUAACACUGACGCUCAUGCACGAAAGCGUGGGGAGCAAACAGG
rnacentral:rRNA from 1 species